GAAAACCUUUCACAAGAGCAAACAGCAGUUAAGUCUUCACUCAUUUUUCUUCUCCUUGUGCUUGAGCAGUUUGUUUACUUCCCUUUUUGCCAUUCCAACAUACUUUGUAAUGAUCCCAUGCUGGUUCAGUCCAGGAAACAGCAGCAAGAAACUUACAAUAAGAUAUGUCAGAAAGAGGUUGUGAACUUGCUGUCCAAUCCAGGCAACCACAGCAAGAGAACAAAGCAUGGUCAUGAAGUACAUUUUAGGCUUCUCCUCCUUCAGCGCAAAAAGACGUUUCCACCAUCCAACAAUUCGGCGACGAGAUUUGACCAAAUUGCUGCAAAUCUCAUGAAAUCUUUGCUGCUGUUCUGUAGUCCAUUUGUUAGAGCCAAAGAUUCUGGGUGCAAGAGCAGGAACAAGAUAAUCAGCCAAACAGAUGAACAUAACAAAGCAGGAGACACCUGACAGAACAGAUGGAUCCAAGUAGUAGAUCAUCAGGAAACAAAAUGAAACAACACUCAUCAGCGCCGGAGGAAACCAGGCUCUCUCCCAGCGAAGAACUUUAUCAGUCAUCAAGAUCACUUCCCCCCAUCCUUGCAACUGCUCUUCCAAGCUAGCUGUUUCUGCAGCCAGCUGGUAGACGCUGUUGUUGUCGCCCUCCGCCAUCUUGCU
rnacentral:lncRNA from 1 species